CAUGAAAUAAACAUGAGAAGGUAUUUUAUUUCAACCGCGGAAAAACGUCAUUACACACAGUUUUUCAAGUUCAAGCCUACCGAUGGUAACCUAUUCUCCUGUCAACUCACCUGUCAGUCAAACUCCCUGUGGAGGGUCAGUUGUACUCAUUCCUUUUGCUUGUCCUCAAUCUGGCAACCCGUCUGAGGAUGAGGGGCAGGAGAAACAACUCUCUCCAAUAUUUUGAAUUUGGACUGCAGUACCCAUUUCAACCUCUAGCUGCCAAUAUUACAUACUGCACAGAAACAGCCGAGAAUCUAGCAUAGCACAUACUGAAAAUAUUCAACCACUCAGAACAUUAUAGCAACCACAUAGCAAUGCCCUGUCAACCAUCCACAGCAUGGUGAGUUUUGCACAGGUAAGCACCACUUUCAUUGUCUUUAUAAAAUGUGAAAAUCUAGUUUUCUGCUCUGGCGUGUAAUAAACCUGUUCCUGCUGUGUUGAGCCUGUUGGAUUGGACAGAUUUCACACAGAUUCCCUAAACCUGCAGCAGCAGCACAUCCUGACAGUAUCUUUUCCCUCCCGUCUCCUGCUUAUUUCUGUAGCUAGAAUUGAGCCAGCGAUGAGAAGAGUGAAAAAAGAGACAUGCACACACAUACACACAACAGAGAAAGCAGUGCGCCAGAGUCUGGAGAGAGAGAGAGAGAGGAAGGCUGGCUGGCAGCCUCAUUACUGAAGGAGGGAAUGUGUUGUUUCACACUGCAAGCCUCACAGAGCCAUCGGAUGACUACUGAAGCCCAGCAGAGCUGCUGAUCAACUGAGAUUUUGGAGAAACACGGAUUGAGCGAUUACACGAGGCAUGAAACAUUUCAACUUUCUAAGCUUUCAAGGACUGCAUGGAGAAACAUCGUUCCUGAAAGCACCAGAAAUUCCCUUGAUCUAAGCCCCAGAUCUGUUUGAAUCCCGCUGAUCCCGCAGCAGUCCGGCGAGAUGCGGGAGGUUCGCAAUAAUUGGAAAUGGCUUCUCUAGUUUUGGAGACACAAUCAGAUGCGACUUGCAGCUUUAAAGCGGCCGAUGUUGAGGAUCCCACGCUCACGACCGAGACUACAGCCAGAGGAGCAACUUUUCCCAUUUCUUGACACAAUGAAUGGGCAUGACAUCUCCGGCUGGUUAACCCGAGCUGCUGUAGUUUUCCACAGCACACUUGCAGCAUGUUACAAGUAAAAAUCCUGCAGCAAAAGCCAGCAGAGACAAAAACAGCCACUCCCCGGAGGAGCUCUGUACAAUACGGACAUACACAUGUACAAAUGCACAUGUACUUCAGCGUUGUCAAUGCAGCACUGACAACCUACAGCGAUCAAUACUUCUUGGCACCAGAUGCUGAGCGGUAUGAGGAGACCUAUAGUGGGUUGGGCAGGAUGACCACAAUCUUAUAUCACGAUGUGACAAAUGCUAUAUCACAC